rnacentral:lncRNA from 1 species
UAGGGCACAGGAUAAGAGAAAUUGUCAUCAAAAAAGAAAAAGAAAGAUACAGACAAUUGUUCAUUUUGCUUGAAAAAUGUUCUUUCCCAAGCAAUCUGAUAAUCAUAAUAAUUGUAUUUAAUAUUUUGGUUCAUUUGUCCAAUUGUCAUGACCAUUUCUCUCAUUUUGUGAGGUUCAAGACCCCAAUCUGUAAGAGUCCAUACUUUCAAAAUUCGAACUUUACAAUAUUUUAAUUUAUUUGGUAUUUGUGGAUCAUAAUUAUUAUGAAUAAUAACAGAGCAAGUAUUUUGAGAAUGGUCUCAUAGAAAUGUUGUGAUUUUUGAAAAUUGUCUGGUAUAUAAAAAUGACUUUUUGGAAAAACA